rnacentral:rRNA from 1 species
UGGCGGCGUGCCUAACACAUGCAAGUCGAGCGAGAUGAUCCCUCGGGAGAUCUAGCGGCGGACGGGUGAGUAACACGUGGGUAACCUGCCUCAAAGAGGGGGAUAGCCUCCCGAAAGGGAGAUUAAUACCGCAUAACAUUAUUUUCUCGCAUGAGAAGAUAAUCAAAGGAGCAAUCCGCUUUGAGAUGGACCCGCGGCGCAUUAGCUAGUUGGUGAGGUAACGGCUCACCAAGGCGACGAUGCGUAGCCGACCUGAGAGGGUGAUCGGCCACAUUGGAACUGAGACACGGUCCAGACUCCUACGGGAGGCAGCAGUGGGGAAUAUUGCGCAAUGGGGGAAACCCUGACGCAGCCAACGCCGCGUGAGUGAUGAAGGUCUUCGGAUUGUAAAGCUCUGUCUUUGGGGACGAUAAUGACGGUACCCAAGGAGGAAGCCACGGCUAACUACGUGCCAGCAGCUGC